rnacentral:lncRNA from 1 species
CAUUGCUCUGUUUCCUCUUUUCUUUGUACAGAGAUAUGAAGAGAUUUGCUGAAUGUGGAAUAUAACUUUUCAGAACCACCUUUGUUUUAUUCUGUGUUUGUUGCAACAAUGUUUGGGAGAUUGACUUUUCCACAACUGCUUUUUGCUGGAGUCCUUGGACUUGCUGGAGGAAUAUAUAUUUAUCAACCAAUAUUUGAACAAUAUUCCAGGGAGCAGAAGGAAUUAAAAGAAAGGGCGAAAUUGGCACAAGCAUCAGAAGAGAAGAAAAGUUAAUACUACCUGGAGUUGAAUUGUAACAGUUGAUUAAAAUUUUGCUGAAAUUAUACACUGACCUAGGAAAAACUUAGGUAUUUUUUAAACACAAAUAAAUAAUGGAUAA